ensembl:snoRNA SNORD19 small nucleolar RNA, C/D box 19
GAGCUAUGAGGAAAAUAAAGAAAUCUGAAAUACCGCUGAAUACUGUAAGAUCCAAUUCUGAGCUCAUUUGCUUG